GUAUGACCAGAAUAAGAAUGGACUGAUCUCAUCUGCUGAGUUGCACCAGGUGUUGAAUCGCUUGGGGUUGCAGUGUUCUAUGGAGGAUUGUGAGAGGAUGAUUGAGAGUGUUGAUUCGGAUGGGGAUGGGUGUGUGAAUUUCAACGAGUUUCAGAAGAUGAUGGCUGCAACUGUCAAGAAUGAAAAUACCUCUACAGGGAAUUGAAAACGACGCGUAGUUUCUUCGGUUUCGAUCUGGUACUUUUCUCCAUUUUGAUUUAAUAUGAAUUUUAUGUAUGCAUUUUGGACUAUUGAUAAUCGAAUGUAAUAUGAUUGUGUUUUAAUUUUGAAUUAUUAACG
rnacentral:misc_RNA from 1 species